UUCAGGAUCUGGAAGGACGCACAAUCAAAGUGAGUGAAUCAAGGCCACGUGGUGAUGGUGGUCGUGGUGGUGGCGGCCGUGGUUUUGGUGGUGGUUUUGGUGGUGGUCGAGGCGGUGGUGGUGGUGGUGGUUACAGAUAUUAAAAUAGCUACUAAUAGGUAAGUCAAUAUUACACGUGAUGGUAUUUGUAGUAAGCUAGCAAUUUCCCAAUUUGGCAGGGAUCGAAAUUUACUAUUCUGUCUGAAGAUCCACCAUUCCUUUAUGUCUCAGAGCCUGCUCGCAGGCUAGUGUAAGCUGCAAGACCUCUGAACUGAAGAUCAACAAACACUUCAUUUACACAACAAGAAUCUAUCGAAUGCAUGUGCAAAAACUCAACUACAAUAUCAGCAAAGUUGUAACCGUAAAAUUAUCCUCAGUAAUAUAAAUUGCAUUCACAACCCAACGUUUCGACAGUCUUGUGUCUGUUGAUGAUAUUUGUUUUUGUAACCCUCGUAUGGUGGUACCAUCGAUACUUUUUGUGUUGUGUUACUUGAUCUUGAUAUAAUGUUACAUUUUAAUGUUCAUCGCCAUGACAAUGUUUAUUCUGUUCUCGUACAAUAAAGGCUCGCGAUGACUGAUUCCUUGAAAUAUAUGUGAUCAAAUUGCAUUCUAUGAAACUCUCAACACUUGUUAUGUAUCAAUUAUGACACUGGCCGUUCAUCAAAGAGUCAUUGGCCAGUUGAACUGUUUAGGUGAUCUUGUCAAUCGAGAGAAGACCAGAGCAAUGAUGUCAACUUUAUUUUUAGCUCAUUACGUAAUGUCAAUGUUAUCCGAUUAAAAAUUAUUUACUUACUUACUAAAAAUUAUUUACUGUCUUCUGUGAUUCACUACAGCCAACAGUACCUCAUGUCAGA